rnacentral:rRNA from 1 species
AAAGCUCGUAGUUGGAGUUCAGAGUGAGCUCGUCUGGUCGGCCUUAUGGGUCAGAACUGGUUGACUCUCUCUUGUUUGUGGAUCCUGUCAGCAGUUAACUCUGUUGAUGUGGAGUCCACAUCGUUUACCUUGAAAAAAUUAGAGUGUUCAAAGCAGGCGUUUGCUUGAAUAUAUUAGCAUGGAAUAAUGGAAUAGGACGCUGGUUCUAUUUUGUUGGUUUUGAGAACCAGAGUAAUGAUUAAUAGGGACAGUUGGGGGCAUUCAUAUUUCAUUGUCAGAGGUGAAAUUCUUGGAUUUAUGAAAGAUGAACUUCUGCGAAAGCAUUUGCCAAGGAUGUUUUCAUUAAUCAAGAACGAAAGUUAGGGGAUCGAAGACGAUCAGAUACCGUCGUAGUCUUAACCAUAAACUAUGCCGACUAGGGAUUGGGCGUGGUUUGUUCAUUGACCCGCUCAGCACCUUACGAGAAAUCAAAGUCUUUGGGUUCCGGGGGGAGUAUGGUCGCAAGGCUGAAACUUAAAGGAAUUGACGGAGGGGCACCACCAGGAGUGGAGCCUGCGGCUUAAUUUGACUCAACACGGGAAAACUUACCAGGUCCAGACAUAGUAAGGAUUGACAGAUUGAGAGCUCUUUCUUGAUUCUAUGGGUGGUGGUGCAUGGCCG